AAGUGUUAAAAUUUUAACCAAGGUCAUUCUCCAUAAAAAUCUGCUUUUGAUCUUCUAAAGCAAAGUCCCCUCUGAAUUUUGCGAAUGUCAGGAAUGUACUUUUCUUCUUUUAAAGGACAUUGAGCCCUCACCUUUGCCCCACAGAGUACACGCUGCUGAUGAAAGCUCCGAGUUUACACAGAGGUUGGACAGUGAGUGAUUCCCAGCCUAUUUCCUAGUAUUUGCAGGCAUUGUCAUUUUGUGGUCAUCAUCAGAUCACUAGGUUCUACCAUUCACCAAGUUCAAGUUGAACUGAAAUCUCUUCAAUUAAAAAACAGAAAAGGGGGAGAUGCAGGGGGCCAUCAAGCCAUGAUGUUUGACAUGGUCACGUGUGGAACCUGGAGUUGAAAAGUGGCCCCUAGGAAGGAUGGAGACACCUACUCAGCCCCCUUAUCUGUGACUUCUCUCACUCACAUCCCUUACUAUUAGAAUUGCUAUGAUUAUUGUUCUCUCCCUAGCUUCAGGAAAAAUAAUAUGAGAGCAAAAUACUUGCAGAAUUAAUACUAAUGCUCCACAUUAUCCCCCCAGAAUAUCACCAAAAGAUCAUACUUACAAAAUCAAACCUAAAGACUAUCAUGGGUUAACUUCUAAUAAAGCUGCACUCAAAAUAUUCCACUCCCAUGUACAGAACAAGUUCUCCUAAGCCAGUAUAUUAAUUGCCCUAGGGAGAGGCUGGUACACCAUGCCUCAGUGACUCGUUUAACUGACUAAAACAUAAGUAAUCUGUCUUGGAAACCCCCCAUGAAACACUAGAAAAAUGAUUAACCUAAUAUUAAAGAAUAUCUGAAACUGAA